rnacentral:tRNA from 1 species
GGGCGAGGUACAACACUUCGGCAUACUUGCGCGUCGGCGCUGGUCGGUCUGAAAAUCCUGGUGUCGGCGGUUCGAUCCCGUCCCUGCCCACCA